rnacentral:rRNA from 1 species
GUAUAAUUUACAAAUUUAUAUUUAUAAUUAUUUUUUUUAUUUCUAAUCUUAGAAGAUAUACUUUAAAUUAUUAAAAAAUACCUUUUGUAUCUGGUGCUAUUAAAAUAUAUUAAUUUUUAUACCUCCUGAAAUAAUUUUUCAUUUUUUUAUUCAACACUUUAUGGAAUUAAGGUUUAUGAAAGAAAGUAGUGAUAUGCUUACGAAAAUUUUUAUAUCCGGUUUAUAAAUUAAAUUUAUUUAAUAAAUUAGAUAGAAUAUAAUGGAUUAGCAUUAUAUUUAAUUCUUUGUUUAUUCUUCUUUUAUAAAAUAACAUUAAUGGUGUGUUAUUUAACAUAGUUUAAUAACUUCAGUAUAAUAUUUAUAUUUCAAGAAACUUUUAUUUAUAAAAAUAAUAACUAAAAAUAUUAUAAUAAUGAUAUUAUAAGUAUAACUUUACUACUUCAAAUGAAGAGCUUUGGUAAAUAAAAUUUAUAUAAGUAACUCAACUAAUAUUUACUUUGUCUGUUUAGUAAAAACAUUGCUAUUAAAAUUGAUAGUAACUUCUGCCCACUGUAAUAUAAAGGGCCGCAGUAUAAUAAUUGUGCAAAGGUAGCAUAAUAGAUUGUCUCUUAAUUGGGGACUGGAAUGAAAGGAGUCACAAAGGUAAAAUUUUCUUAUAUAUUUAUUAAAAAUUUAUGUUUCUGUAAAAAAGCAGAAUUUCUUUUAAGGGACGAUAAGACCCUAUAAAUUUUUACUUACAUAUAAUAUAAAGUUAUAAAACUAAAGUAAGAUUAGAUGGGGCAACUAAUUUAUUAAAUUAAUUUUGUAUUUACAUUCUAUAUGGUAGAAAGAGCGUUAUUUAAUUAACCAGGAGAAAUAAAUACUUUAGGGAUAACAGAGUAAUAAUUUUGGAGAGAUCUUAUCAAUAAAAUUGGUUACUACCUCGAUGUUGAAUUAAAAAGUUCUGAAGGUGUAGAAUAUUUCAGAAAAAGUCUGUUCGACUUAGAAUUUUACAUGAUUUGAGUUUAAACCGGUGUGAGCCAGGUUGGAUUCUAUCUUUAAAUUUUUAUUCUUUUUAGUACGAAAGGAUUGAGAGAAAAUAUAUAAUAUA